rnacentral:rRNA from 1 species
AUGUUCAUAACCCUUUGUUGUCCGACUCUGUUGCCUCCGGGGCGACCCUGCCUUCGGGCGGGGGCUCCGGGUGGACACUUCAAACUCUUGCGUAACUUUGCAGUCUGAGUAAACUUAAUUAAUAAAUUAAAACUUUUAACAACGGAUCUCUUGGUUCUGGCAUCGAUGAAGAACGCAGCGAAAUGCGAUAAGUAAUGUGAAUUGCAGAAUUCAGUGAAUCAUCGAAUCUUUGAACGCACAUUGCGCCCCCUGGUAUUCCGGGGGGCAUGCCUGUUCGAGCGUCAUUUCACCACUCAAGCCUCGCUUGGUAUUGGGCAACGCGGUCCGCCGCGUGCCUCAAAUCGACCGGCUGGGUCUUCUGUCCCCUAAGCGUUGUGGAAACUAUUCGCUAAAGGGUGCUCGGGAGGCUACGCCGUAAAACAAACCCAUUUCUAAGGUUGACCUCGGAUCAGGUAGGGAUACCCGCUGAACUUAAGCAUAUCAAUAGCCGGAGGAA